AAACUAACAAGGAUUCCCCUAGUAGCGGCGAGCGAAGCGGGAAGAGCUCAAAUUUAUAAUCUGGCACCUUCGGUGUCCGAGUUGUAAUCUCUAGAAGUGUUUUCCGCGUUGGACCGCACACAAGUCUGUUGGAAUACAGCGGCAUAGUGGUGAAACCCCCGUAUAUGGUGCGGACGCCCAGCGCUUUGUGAUACACUUUCAAUGAGUCGAGUUGUUUGGGAAUGCAGCUCAAAUUGGGUGGUAAAUUCCAUCUAAAGCUAAAUAUUGGCGAGAGACCGAUAGCGAACAAGUACCGUGAGGGAAAGAUGAAAAGCACUUUGGAAAGAGAGUUAACAGUACGUGAAAUUGUUGGAAGGGAAACGCUUGAAGUCAGACUUGCUUGCCGGAGCUUGCUUCGGUUUGCAGGCCAGCAUCAGUUUUCCGGGGUGGAUAAUGACGGUUUGAAGGUAGCAGUCUCGGCUGUGUUAUAGCUUUCCGUUGGAUACGCCCUGGGGGACUGAGGAACGCAGCGUGCUUUUUG
rnacentral:rRNA from 1 species